CCCGAGCCCACGCCAUCGAAUCCUCUCAGAUGUCCUGCGGGACGUCCUGAUCUCUGUAGCCUGAAUGCGGAAGGAAAAAAGAGCAGUGUCUUUUCUUGCUUAAGUUGAAUGUGCAAAUAAAUGUCAGCGUUGUGACUGACUUGCGAGGAUGACCAUGUCCAUGCCCCAGAAGAUGCUCAUGAUCCAGCCCACCAUGAUGACGGCCGUCGCCACCUGGAUGAGCGCCGCCGCCACGUUGAGCCAAAAGACGCAACAGACGCCGCGCUGGGCCGCCAGCUCGCUGCGGGCGCCGCACAGCACCGUGAAAGCUGAGAUGAAGGCCCAAAAGAAUCAGACUUGGAAAGCACAGAGGGGCUGGAUCAACACUUUACGAAGUGGACAAAGAGCGCCAUCUGCUGGCCAAAAAACACCAUUAGGCAAGUUCAGAUUUGCAUAUGUGUCAACUACACGAAUGAGUAUGAAGCUAUUAAAAAAAAAAAAAAAAAAUUGUCAUUUUGAAGCAAUUAGCGGUAAUAUGUUUCUAUAAGAGCUCUAAUUACAAAUACAAUACAGUUCAAAUACUGUACAAUAUAUAGGAAACAAUCAAAUACAAUGAUUUCACACAGCUAAAGAAUAUGAAUAUGAAAAUGUUAAUUAAAUUUGUUACAAAAUAAUUAUUGGUUAACAAUGGUUUUGUAAUUUGUUUUUUGAAGUAUGAAACGUCUUAACAAGUGCAAUCAACAUACAAUGAAAUUGGUUCAUUUCAUAUAUUUAACCCCAUUUCGAAAAAAGAUUUUUAAAAUGAAAAAUGUGUAAAUUAUCCACCUUGAAGCAUUGUUUGUGACUAGUAAUGCACUAAAUUUGGAUUUAAAAAGUUAGUAAAGGAGUCAAUAAUGACAUAUAAACAAUGCUGUUUUGAAUGUUUGUUUCUGACAUUUAUGGGUAAUUAAUUAAGCCCCAGGUCAAAUUGACCCAUGGUCAUUAUUGCUGAGCCUAAGAGAGGAAACUAACAGGAGGGUUAACGUGUUCAAGUGUGUUUAUGCACUCUCAAAAGGAACGUCAGCAUAGCAACAGUUAACAACCAACCCUUCAAGAAGUUUGUCACAGUUUCCUCUCCGACGGCUGCCAUUCAUUAACGUCCCGGUGUCGCCACUGGCUUCUUGUGACUUCACACCUUCGUCCCUUCCCGGCACGCACACGCACGCACACACACGUGAAGUAAGUCUCGUCCCCCAUAGGAAAUUGGAUCGCUGUAGCUAAAGAAUCCCAAGAAUGGAUUGAGCAUGGUCCUCCUUCAUUAGGAUACUUUUUAGUUUUUGGAAAAUUCAGCGCCCAAAGCUAGUUUUGCUCAGCAACAUAAAAUUUGGCAGGUGUGAUUGCCUUGAGUAGACCCACAAAAAAGUCUCAGGAAGCAAUGCCCUAAAAGACACAUGAAGUCAGCCAUUUUGGUUUGAAGCGUCCACUUUUUGGGUUCGUUUGGCAGUUUUUUUUUUUUGUCGAAAGUUGAGCACCCAAUCCCAGUUUCUUUGGAACGUGAAAUUUCUAUCAAGAGUUGACCUGCCAAAAAGGUUUCAAGAACCCAUCCCCGAAAAGACACAGGAACUCGGUCAUUUUGGUUUGAAGCGGCCAUUUCGGUGUCAUUUUGGCCUUUUUUUUUUCCUGCCUCAGAAAGCAGCAUGAAAUUUGGUAGGUGUGUCUUUCAAGAGUAGACCCACAAAAAAGUCUCAAGAAUCAUUGCCCAAAAAGACAGAAAGUUGGCCAUUUUGAAAUUGACAUUUUAGUGUCAUUGUCACCUUUCUUUCAACAUCGAAAAUAAAACCCUCAUUUCACCUGGCAACGCAACAUUUUGGCGGGCCUGUCAGCAAUUUUGGUUUAAAAUGGCCGUUUUGACCCUGGAGUCGAUAAUUUGUAUUUCCGUGACUUCCCAUGCGUGUUUACAUGUUUAACGGUGAUGUAUAGCUUCCUCGUACACACAAACACGCACAUCCAUCACACGCGUUCUUGCGUCACUGGCAUUUUACACCACCCAACAAACCACUUAUUAUAUGCGCAGUACAUUUGUAUUUUUCCUCAUGGGACAGAUAAGAUAUCAUCUCGUCCGACUCCGUGUCACUGUCUCAUAUUUCCAGGAAAUACACACGUCCUCAAAAUAACCUGUCACUUCCCAUUUGGCCACAUUUGCCCAAAACGUAUAUGCGCCACGGGGGCACGCAUCACACUGAUGCGCGCACACGCCCCACUGAGUUAUUAGCGUGUGUGUGUUAGGGUCAACAUGAGACAGGAAGUAGCAAACAAGAACUUCCCGAGGAAGACUAUUGUCACACACACACACGCAGAAACACACUCACACGGACACACAAUGUCAAGAAAAAAAUCCUGGAUUUUUAGUACUUCAAAAAUAUAAAAUGGUAAUUAGUCAAAAAAAAAUAAUUAUCAGGUAUAUAUUGAAAAAAAUAAGAUCACUCCCCCAAAAGUCGGGAAAUAAAUAUUUACCAAAAAACAAACAAACAAAAAAACUUAAAUGGCAAUUAGUCAUUGCUCAAAACAGGAAAAACAAAUUAAUUGAAUUGUAUUAAACCUUUAAAGGACAAAUCUGAUACAUUUAUAGUGUUGUUUUUUUAUUCGAAUGGUAAUUUUAUAAUUCUAACGCAUUUAUUAUAUAUACUUUACAUCUUAAAACAUUUCCCACUAACUAUUUUUGCCUGUUGUACUCAUUUUACGUGUAUUUUAUAUUGUGCACUUGC